CCUUCCCUUCCCUUCCCGCACCUUCCCUUCCCGCACCUUCCCUUCCCGCACCUUCCCUUCCCGCACCUUCCCCCUCCCCAUCAUUUUCUUUUUCCUUCUCCCUUCUCCUCUCUUUCCCCCUUCCUUUUCUUUUUCCCCUCAAAGCUUCAGCUUUGGUUCAGGAUUGCAGAUCUGGCCCUGCAUGAAAUAAUUUUCCUAUCUAAACCAGUUGUCAGGGCUCCUUCUAAAUAUGAGAGAAAGACAAUGAGAGACAGAGAAAACAAAUUGUCUCUGACUGUGAGAAGUGGGGUGACCUAUUCCUGGAAGCACAACCACCUUUCCAUGAGUGGUGAUCUCAGUGGCUAGAAGAAAUGAUCCGGUCGAGGUCGUUCACAGGAAGCUUAACUAAGACCAUAAUAACAACGGUCGUUGGCUAUGGGGUUGAGAAACUCAUAGAAAUUAUGUUCGAAGAAUCAAGAAAGAAGGAGGAGAACUUUGCAAGGGUCCUGUUAUCUAGGAUGGAGAAAGAAAUCCAGGUAUUCUCCCAGAGAAUUAAAACUCUGCAAGAAGAUGUACAAGAAUGGCCAGAGACCACAAUGUAUGAGCUUGAUCUUCUCAGAGCACAGCUGGAAGGUGAGCAGGGCCAUUGCCAAGCAGACACUCAUCCAUCUGAAGGCAGAAGCUGCUCUGCAGGCCAACCACUCUGUGUGAGCUCAUCCUGCUCAUUUCCUCAGAGGGGACAUGGAGGGACAAUCCUCCCAUGGGGAACAGCUUCUGUGAUCCAUGGCACUGAAACACCAACAUGCUGA
rnacentral:lncRNA from 1 species